ACGCCGCGUGAGUGAUGAAGGCUUUCGGGUCGUAAAGCUCUGUCGAGGGGAAAGAAAUGUAUUUGGGUUAAUACCCUGGAUACUUGACGGUACCCCUAAAGGAAGCACCGGCUAACUCCGUGCCAGCAGCCGCGGUAAUA
rnacentral:rRNA from 1 species